AUUGAACGCUGGCGGCAGGCCUAACACAUGCCAGUCGAACGGUAACAGGAAGAAGCUUGCUUCUUUGCUGACGAGUGGCGGACGGGUGAGUAAUGUCUGGGAAACUGCCUGAUGGAGGGGGAUAACUACUGGAAACGGUAGCUAAUACCGCAUAACGUCGCAAGACCAAAGAGGGGGACCUUCGGGCCUUUUGCCAUCGGAUGUGCCCAGAUGGGAUUAGCUAGUAGGUGGGGUAACGGCUCACCUAGGCGACGAUCCCUAGCUGGUCUGAGAGGAUGACCAGCCACACUGGAACUGAGACACGGUCCAGACUCCUACGGGAGGCAGCAGUGGGGAAUAUUGCACAAUGGGCGCAAGCCUGAUGCAGCCAUGCCGCGUGUAUGAAGAAGGCCUUCGGGUUGUAAAGUACUUUCAGCGGGGAGGAAGGGAGUAAAGUUAAUACCUGUGCUCAUUGACGUUACCCGCAGAAGAAGCACCGGCUAACUCCGU
rnacentral:rRNA from 1 species